GGUAGUGUCAUGUAAGUAACGGCUCAUGCACAGUAUCACUCCUGCCUGCUUUCCAUUUGCCACUCUGGAGCUCCACUGAAGACAAUGCAGCUUGUACUUCUUAUUCCUAUAUGGUAACACACACCCUGGUGGUGCCUCCCCAUUGUGGAGACUCCUCAUUCUCUGUUUCAGUUCAAUUGAAGGCAGGAGUUCAAGUUCAACUCUCAGAAGGAGAUUCAGACACAGAGAAGGCAUGAACACAACAUGGACCUGGCACAAGGGGAACGUAUUGACUUACCGCCAGGCGUCUGGCCGUCACAGACAGAGCCUCUGCUGAACUGACAGAUGAACAGGGCAGACCCUUCUGGGGAGGCAGUGGCGUGGAAGACUGUCUUCUCAGAAUGCAUCGGCUACCUUGUUGCUCAACGUUAUUCCUCAGAUUGUCUUGAGAGGGAUGGCUUCCACCCUUCCUGUUACAUUGACAGGUUCACCCAGUGUAUGUAG